GGGCUCUUAGCUCAGUUGGUAGAGCAGCACACUUUUAAUGUGCGGGUCGCUGGUUCGAAUCCAGCAGGGCUCA
rnacentral:tRNA from 1 species